AACGAACGCUGGCGGCAUGCCUAACACAUGCAAGUCGAACGAGACCUUCGGGUCUAGUGGCGCACGGGUGCGUAACGCGUGGGAACCUGCCCUUAGGUUCGGAAUAACUCCCCGAAAGGGGUGCUAAUACCGGAUAAUGUCUUCGGACCAAAGAUUUAUCGCCUUUGGAUGGGCCCGCGUUGGAUUAGCUAGUUGGUAGGGUAAAAGCCUACCAAGGCGAAGAUCCAUAGCUGGUCUGAGAGGAUGAUCAGCCACACUGGGACUGAGACACGGCCCAGACUCCUACGGGAGGCAGCAGUGGGGAAUAUUGGACAAUGGGCGAAAGCCUGAUCCAGCAAUGCCGCGUGAGUGAUGAAGGCCUUAGGGUUGUAAAGCUCUUUUACCCGGGAUGAUAAUGACAGUACCGGGAGAAUAAGCGCCGGCUAACUCCGUG
rnacentral:rRNA from 1 species